UAAUACGUAGGGGGCAAGCGUUGUCCGGAAUCAUUGGGCGUAAAGAGCGCGUAGGCGGCCCUGUAAGUCCGCUGUGAAAGUCAAGGGCUCAACCCUUGAAUGCCGGUGGAUACUGCAGGGCUAGAGUCCGGAAGAGGCGAGUGGAAUUCCUGGUGUAGCGGUGAAAUGCGCAGAUAUCAGGAGGAACACCGAUGGCGAAGGCAGCUCGCUGGGACGGUACUGACGCUGAGGCGCGAAAGCGUGGGGAGCAAACAGGAUUAGAUACCCCGGUAGUCCACGCUGUAAACGAUGACGACUAGGUGUGGGGUGGUUCAGUCCAUUCCGUGCCGCAGCUAACGCAUUAAGUCGUCCGCCUGGGGAGUACGGCCGCAAGGUUG
rnacentral:rRNA from 1 species